rnacentral:rRNA from 1 species
UACGAAGGGGGCUAGCGUUGCUCGGAAUCACUGGGCGUAAAGGGCGCGUAGGCGGCUUGCCAAGUCGGGGGUGAAAGCCCGUGGCUCAACCACGGAAUGGCACUUCGAUACUGGCAGGCUCGCAGACCCGGAAGGGGACAGCGGAACUGCGAGUGUAGAGGUGAAAUUCGUAGAUAUUCGCAAGAACACCAGUGGCGAAGGCUGCAUGUCUGGUCCGGUUCUGACGUCGAGCGCGAAAG